ensembl:lncRNA
UCUCUGCCCUUUGCUGCUUCUGUGACCUUUCAACACCCCACCCCCACCCCCAGGACAAACUGGUAAUGCCUUGGGAGCCCACAUGUCCUGUCCCUGGUCGUUUACAGCCUGAGGCGCACUGGCUUAGGUUAGAGCUACUUUAAGCCAGGGGACCCAAUUGGCCUCCAGGCUAGUUUUGGUUUUAGGGAAUUUGCACGAGGGACACCUCUGUAUGGCCUGCACACUCUCAGCUGGACGACAGGCCUUUCUCUGCUGGCCUGGGGCACACAUUUUUUUCAGUUGCCUCACCCUGUAGGCACUUAAGUUUGCAAUUCUUGCUCCAAAGCCAUUUCCAACAUAUUCCUAAUUGGUCAUCUCACAAUUUUGAUACCCAAGAGACCAGAAAGAAUAUAAAUGCUAGUAAAGCUGCCUAGGUUCAAAUCCCAGCUCUGCCAUAUGCUCUCCGUGUGAAUUUGGGAGAGUUAUCUUCCCACCUUUGAAAAAUGGAGAUGACAAGAAUAGUAUCUACCUUCCACGGGUUCUGGUGGGAACUGAACGAGUUCAUAUGCAGAAAGUGCUUAAAAAUAGGGUCUGGCACAACCAGGAAAGCUGUCAGUGUUCUCAGGAUUCCACUUUCCAGCUGCCAUCUGUACCUAAGUGGGUUGGCUUCACAGUUUUCGCAGGACUCUGGACAAAGGAACAAUGUCUUCAGCAAAUUCUUCCUAUACUUGGUGGGAAGGGAGGGCACCAGCCGAGUUGAGUUUCUGGAAGCCUGUGACUCGGUGCCUGACAUCCUCAGCAGCCCCUUUGGCCUCAGAGGAAGGACAGAGUCUGAGAGGAACAAGCCUCCAAAAGAACCGCCUUUAGAAACCCAGGAGUUUAAGGCUGUGGUUUCCUUGCCCAGGCAUCAGGGCCUGGGGAGCUGCCAGGGCCCUUUCAACUCUCCCGCCCUGCCGAGCCCGGAUGGGAUUGUGUAAGAGCCGCCCUCCACACGCCUGCUCUCUCGUGCAGCACGCCUGGGCCUGCCCGUCCUCCCGGGGAGCCGGGCCAGAAGGCCCUGGUACCCACACAGGUCUGGCCACCCAAAGGCUCCUGCCUGGUUGGGAGAGGGAGGGGGAUAUCUCUUGAAGUUCAAGGCCUAAUCCCAAACUGAUGCCAGACUGGAGUUCUGGGGAGGCUUGGGGAGAGGGGUGUGUGCUGUGUACACGUCCCUGGCCACCCCCUGAGCACACAUGCCCUGGUGUCUCCAGGGAUCUUCUGUCGGCCUGUACCAUUUCCCAGGCCUUCUUCCCUGUAUCCUUGUGUCUGUGUGUGUGUCUGUGUGAGCGUGCCUCCCUGCAUAGCCCAAGCAGGUGUUUUGCUUAAGCUCUGGGUACCGUUUGUGAGUGCAUGGGCCUAGCAUCCCAGUGGCAGGUGAAGGUGCUGGCUAGGGGAGAACAUGUGUGGGCGCACAGCCUGUUGCCCUGGCUGCAAAAGCAGGGCAUCUGGAGAAAGGUUAAUCAGGUAUGUGACCGCGAGAAGGCAUUUAAGGGGGCAUCUCCGCACCUGGCCCCACUUGGAAACUCAGCAAGACAGGAACCAAAAGCGGGCCCCAGCUGAGGACCUCGGUGGUCUGGGCCAGGCCAGAAAUCCCAACCUGGUUAAACUUGAAGCUAGGAGAGGCCGGCUUUUUGACAUCUUGAAGGUUCCUCUUCCCUCUUUCUGUUAAACUCAAAUGGGUCUUUUCUACCUUUCCGUCACCCCUGGCAGAGGAGCCACCCUCAGUCUCGAUUAGAGGGGAGAAGAUAUGAGGGAUGGAGGACACACCACCAGCUCCCCUUCUCACAGCCAAGGGGAGUGCAGGCAAGGUGAUUGAUUGGAUGGUUCCGGGGCUCAGAACACUCAGUGGUGCAACCAGGAAACGCCUGGACACGCUGGAUGGCUGGUUACCCUGGUCUGGUCCUUACUCGUGUGCUGGUAACUAUGGCAUUCCUGCAGAAAUCUGAGACACUGUCAGGAAGAAGGGACCUGCAGCGCUCAGUCCAAGAACAGCUUCCAGCUCUGAUGCUGCCUCUCUGCGAUGGAGAAGCCAGGGUGGCUCCGGGAGCAUUUGGUUUGCAUGUGACAGAGCAGAAGAAUGAAGAAGCUUAGCAGAGAUCACAGAGCCAGUGGGUGACACCGGGAUCGGGCCUCCCGCACCCUCCUGGGAGGGCUCGCAGCUGUGCCGUGCAGCGCAUAGGAAUCCGUUGGUUUCCAGAUCCAGGGAAUGGAUGGCCUGAGUGCUGGCACACUGCUCAGGACAAGAAGGUGUGGUCCAACCCUCCCAGGAACAAGCCCCAGGAGGGCAGAACACGGGGGCCACCGACUGCCUCUCCACCUCUUUCUUGGGACUUGUCAACCUGGGUGUCUCCCCGGCUGAACCCCAGCUGGUCCCUCAGGGGACCCCGCAGCGUGUUGGAAAGAGCCACUACCCAGCCUAGCGCCCCUUCAUUCCCUGAACUGGCUUCCUGGGGAAGGCCACAGGCUCCCAAGGGGCUCACAAGUUUCCAGUGCAAUGGGGACCCUCUUCAAAUUCCAAGCUGCCGUCUGAGGCUCAGAGCCUUUGAGUCCAGCUGAGUUUUGAAGCCCCAGAUGUGCCCGUGCAGGCCUAGAGCUGAGCUAGGGUCAGAUGGAGAGAACUGAAGUGAUUAUGGAAUACGGGGAGGGAGACUGGAGCUCUUGCAGGACACUGGGCAGCAGUCAUUUUGUUCACAUCUGAAUAGGAAAGCAGCCUACAACUUAGAGCUUGUUGUGUGUGUGCUCAGUCAUGUCCAACACUUUGUGACCCUGUGGACUGUAGCCCGCCAGGCUCCUCUCCUCAAAAUUCCUUGCCAGGAAUUUUCCAGGCAAGAAUCCUGGACAGGAUUGCCAUUUUCUUCUCCAGGGGAUCUUCCUGACCCAGGGAUGAAACUCGCAUCUCUGGAGUCUCUUGCAUUGGCAGGCGCAUUCUUUCCCAGCCAAGCCACCAGGGAAGCCCCUUUAUUAUUACUUGGUGGUAAUUUCUCUUCUCCGCACACACAGCUCACGAUGGUUGCCUUUCAAGGCACUGGGGCGGUGUGGUUGGUGG